GGCUCCAUAGUGUGUAGUGAUUAGCACAUCUGCUUUACACACAGAAGGUCUUGGGUUUGCACCCCAGGUGGAGCCA
rnacentral:tRNA from 1 species